rnacentral:lncRNA from 1 species
GCGCGGUGUGGCUCCAGGGAACGUAGGUCCCGCGCCUGUGAUAAGUAAGGUUGGAUUUUCUCUUCCCUGAGGUGAAGGAUGCCCGGAGGCCUCGGCAGGACCGUGCGGAAACGGGCCUUCUGCCCAAAAGAUGCUGCUUCUCUCCUUAUUCUUUCCCCUCAGAAUCUCGCUGUCUCCUUCCAACCACCUGUGGUCGGCAUCCCCGCGUUGUCACUGCGACGCAGAGGCGAGCGAGGUGGCGGGAAGCACCCGCGGGGCGGGGAGGGACCCUGCGGGCGCGGACUCCACACCAAGCCUCUGCUCAGCGUCACCCCGCUUGCUGUGUCCUCGCAGGUCGCAGCUUCAUGGCCUGAUGCCUUCAGGAAGUAUUUUGAAGUCAUCGUGGCUGUGGAUUGGGGGAUUUCUUGUUUCCACUGACCUGUGAGGCCGCGCACGUGGAGGGAGGCACCCCGGGUCCUCCGGCACUGUCCGGCCUCGCCUGUGUCCCUAGUAGCAGUGGGCAUUUCCAGACGGUGCAGCUUGUGGCUAAAGUGACAGGAAGAUGUAGGAGCUUUCAGUCUUGGAUGAGGAUUCGAACUGAAGGGCUUAGGCCCAGCUGUCUUGGAGCAAAACAUCUGUUGUGGGGUGAGAAGGGAAAGGAGGGGUGAGGGUGCAGGGGCCCUCCUAGGAGGACAUCGGACCUGUUGGGCCGAGACCUCAUUAGAGAUCUAGAGCACGGAUGGGAGGAGCAGAGGCUCGAUUUGUGUCCUGUUCAGACUCCCACAGGCUGGGUGAUGGUGGGAGAUUUGUGCCCAUUCAGAUGUGGCGGCAGAGGAGGGCAAGGCCGAAGGAGCAGACAGCACCGCUUCUUGGGGAGUUGUGAAGGCAUCAUGCGGAGGGCCGAGCUUAGCAGCCAAGUGGAGGACAGCACCCUCCAUGCCUGGAUUCGUUACUCGCUCGUUCUCGAUGUUGAGCUGCUGGCAUAUUGCAGCACAACUAGAGAUGUACGGAUGCCCCCAUCUUGAUCUUACAGAAUCAGAGGUGCAGCCGCAAGAAAGGUCUCUACACCCUCUCGGUUUUCUCUGCUCUGCCAACACUAGUGGAAUAUGAUCACAUCCCAGGUAAGUUGUUUAUUUUUUCACAGUUUUGCUUAAAACUAAUUAUUGAGGUUUAAAAAAUGUCUAUACAUUCAUAUGAAAGUAGAAAUAACAUCCUGGAAAAUAUAGAGGAGAGGUCACAUUACAGUUCAUGGGUCAAAUGCAGCCUACUGUCUGUUUUUUUAUGGUCCACAAAUGAAGGAUGGUUUUUAUACUUUUAGGUGGCUGAGGGAAAAAAACCAAGAGUAUUAUUUUGCUUGGAAAUUGUAUGAAAUUCAGACUUCAUUGUCUAUGAAUUUUUAUUGGGACUCAGCUAUACUCAUGUAUUUAUGUAUUGCCUGUUGGUACUUUCACACUACAAAGGCAGAGUUGACUGGUUGCAGCAGAGACUGUAAUGGCCUACAAGCCUAAAAUAUUUACUGUGUGACUCUUUACAGAAAAUGUUUGCUGAUUUCUGAUAGAGAGUUGAUGAAGAGUAAGACAAAAAUGUCAUAUAGGUGAAUGCAGAUCUUGUGAUCUUACAGUUGUGAAACUGGAACAUAAAACAGUUUGUCGGUGGGCUUUAUUAGGUGACAUUGUGAAACUUCUGAUGACAGUCUUGCAGGUACUUAAAAAAGUAGUACAACAAAGUGAGUAAUUCAUGUGCAGUCCAGGGGAAAACUUAACAGAUAGCAAAAGAAAGUAUAUGAUUAAAAAAUUCAAAUAGGCCGGGCACAUUGGCUCACGCCUGUAAUCCCAGCACUUUGGAAGGCUAAGGCGGGUGGAUCAUGAGGUCAGGAGUUCGAGACCAGCCUGACCAACAUGGUGAAACCCUGUCUCUACUAAAAUUACAAAAAUUAGCUGGGCAUGGUGGUGCGUGCCUGUAAUCCCAGCUAGUCAGGAGGCUGAGGCAGGAGUAUCACUUGAACCCAGGAGGUGGAGGUUGCAGUGAGCCGAGAUUGUGCCACUGCGCUCCAGCCUGGGCAACAGAGUGAGACUCCGUCUCAGGAAAAAAAAAAAAAAAAAAAAAAAUCCAAUGAAUUGUGUAGCAUUAGGACUCAUGGUUGUUUAAAGAAACAGUCCUGGUAGGCUAGGGUGAUCAUGGGUUGUUAGGAUGUGGCAGGCUUUGUGACAGCCUUAGAGACUGGGCAGAACUGGAAUAUUUGCAAUAACUUUCGAGGGAUUCUACCUAAAAAAAAAAUUGUGGUAAAACACACAUCACAUGAAAUUCACAAGCCAUUUUAAAGUAUAGAAUUCAGUGACUUUAGUACAUUCACAAUGUUGUACAACCAUAACCACCAUUUAUUUCUGGAAUAUUUUCAUCACACCAAAAGGAAACACAUCACCCUUAAUAAGCAGUAUUGUAACUUAAUAAGCAGUUGCUCCCUUUUCCCCGCUGUGCUCCCAGCCCCUAACAACCAAUAAUCUCCUUUCUGUCUUUAUAGAUUUGCCUA